GUGAGGCUUAUAUUCUCCUUGAAGCACGGAGGCUCCGUAUUUUCAGGUCGUUUUUUAUAUUGCGAUUUUCGAAUCGUCGAUCGAUUCUGUUAAACUUGAUCUACAGUAUUUAAAAUAUUUAAAAAAUAAAUUAUAUUAUUAAAAUGUUAGAUUAGGUUCAAAAUCAACGGGUAAAAAUAAAAAUCUUACAAAGCGUGAUAAUAUGAUAUUAAAAUUUUAGAUCAAAAAUAUUAAUCUUGUUUUAUAUAGUAUAAAAAAUUUUCUAUCAAAAUUUCACGUGAUUUGAAUAUUUCUAUACCAUUAAAUUUGCAAACAGCUUACUACGGUCAUUAAAAUUAUUGAUUUUGAGCCCCUUCGAUCACUAGGCGAAUGAUAUCGAAAAAUCAUAAAAUUUAUUUUCUAGAUACUUCACAUACUUUAGAUCAAAUUUAACGGAGCCGAUCGACGAUUCGAAAGUAGCAAUAUUGAAAAUAAUCUGAAAGUACGGAAGGCUAUAUACUUCUAGAAGCAUAGUAGUCUCACUCUAUAAAAUAUUAUCAAAAGUAUGGUAAAAAAAUUAUUUUAUUACUAUUACUAGUCAUAAUAGGGUGAAUGAACUUAAAAAGUUUAUCUAAUUAGUUAAAAACAUGGCAUCGACACACUCAACAAUUUGUAUACAUGAAUCUAUAUAUAAGUCUCCAUACAAGAUGUAUCUAAAUUCUACGAUAAUUAGAAUUCUUACUCCAAAUAAUAUUUAAAUUUAUAUUUAAUUUAUCUUAAAUAAAUUUAAAUAUUUAUCUUAAUAUAGUUAGAUUUAUCCUCUAAUUAAAAUUUAAAUCUUAAUUUAUUUUAAAUAAAUUUUAAAUAUUAAUACUUAUCUACCUAGAAAAUCUAAAUCUAACCAACA
rnacentral:lncRNA from 1 species